CCUACGGGAGGCAGCAGUGGGGAAUUUUGGACAAUGGGCGCAAGCCUGAUCCAGCAAUGCCGCGUGAGUGAAGAAGGCCUUCGGGUUGUAAAGCUCUUUUGUCAGGGAAGAAACGGUGGAGGCUAAUAUCCUUUGCUAAUGACGGUACCUGAAGAAUAAGCACCGGCUAACUACGUGCCAGCAGCCGCGGUAAUACGUAGGGUGCAAGCGUUAAUCGGAAUUACUGGGCGUAAAGCGUGCGCAGGCGGUUUUGUAAGUUUGUCGUGAAAUCCCCGGGCUCAACCUGGGAAUGGCGAUGAAGACUGCAAGGCUAGAAUCUGGCAGAGGGGGGUAGAAUUCCACGUGUAGCAGUGAAAUGCGUAGAGAUGUGGAGGAACACCGAUGGCGAAGGCAGCCCCCUGGGUCAAGAUUGACGCUCAUGCACGAAAGCGUGGGGAGCAAACAGGAUUAGAUACCCUGGUAGUCCACGCCCUAAACGAUGUCUACUAGUUGUCGGGUUUUAAUUAACUUGGUAACGCAGCUAACGCGUGAAGUAGACCGCCUGGGGAGGUACGGUCGCGAAGAGUAAACGUUACGAAGUAAGUUAGAGGCGNGNGAGNGCGACGGACGACGACGAGGGAGGAGG
rnacentral:rRNA from 1 species